UUCAAGAUGGCUGCACACGGAUAUGAAAUACUAUCAAAAGUUAUGUUGGUUUUUGUUGUUAUUUGCUAAUCAAUUGUUCCUCGUAUUGUUUUCUCAUUUUAUCAUCAUUUAAAUAUAGAAAUAUUUUCUUGAAAAAAAAUACCCGAUAUUUUUUAUAAAAACUAUCGGAUAUUGAUAUAUCGGCCGGUCUGAUCGGGUCAAAAAAAUAUCAGCGAUAAUAUAUCGAUAUAAUAUCGCCAACUAUCGCACAUCCCUAAAUUUGAAUCCCAGGACCCAGCUGUCUCGCAUGGUCUGCACAUGGUCUCACAAGUCACAUCAGUCACAUUCUACUGUGAUCUACAGACUACUACAGACCUUGCUUCUUGUCUACAAGUCAUAACUACGUUCUCAGUUUCAACUUCUAACCUUGUUCACACUUGAUCAGAUCAGUUUUCGUGAAUAAAGUGCUAGAACGACAAAAAAAUGCCUUAUACGACAGGAAAAUCUUCAGUCACUGCAGAUUUCAGUCAAGAAGAUGAGUUAAGCGAUGCUGAAUUAUUUCCUUCUUCAAUCGAGCUCGACCCACUAUUAUUACCGAUUGGUGUUAGGUACGUCAUCGAUCUAAUGCCAAUUAAGCUGAAUGAAUGCAUUGUCCUCCCAAGCGCUCCAAGUUAUUAUCGAGAUUCAGAUAAACCAUAUAGCAGGAGAAAGUGUCGUGGUGAAAAACCAUCGAAACCUAAGCCUAAGAUUGAUGUACAAGAACCCAAGAAAGAAUCUAGAAGAACAAGAAAGAACAAAAAAAAAAUCCUCAAGAAAGUACAAGAACAAGAAAAAAUUGCAUCCAGACCCAAAAAAACAGUCUGAAUAGAAUGAGUUCAGGGAUGUGCACAUGGAGGUGAAGUGAAUAUUCACUUUCAUGGGAUUCAUCAGCUGCUGUAUUGGAAGAUCCGAUAUUUUUUUUUCAUUUUAUUUUUAUCCGGUCGACCACCAAUAUCCACGAUAUAGGUAUAUAAUUGAUAUUGGUGGUCGACAAAUAUCAGAUAUUUUAUAAGUAACUAAGA